UACGGGGGGUGCGAGCGUUGUCCGGAAUCACUGGGCGUAAAGGGCGCGUAGGUGGCUUGGUAAGCGUGUGGUGAAAGCCCGGGGCUCAACCCCGGGUCUGCCAUGCGAACUGCUAUGGCUUGAGCACUGUAGAGGCAGGUAGAAUUCCAGGUGUAGCGGUGAAAUGCGUAGAUAUCUGGAGGAACACCGGUGGCGAAGGCGACAUCCUGGACCGGUAUUGACGCUGAGGCGCGAAAGCCAGGGGAGCAAACGGG
rnacentral:rRNA from 1 species